GGAAUCUUCCACAAUGGGCGCAAGCCUGAUGGAGCAACACCGCGUGAGUGAAGAAGGGUUUCGGCUCGUAAAGCUCUGUUGUUAGAGAAGAACGUGCGUGAGAGUAACUGUUCAAGGGUUGACGGUAUUUAACCAGAAAGCCACGGCUAACUACGUGCCAGCAGCCGCGGUAAUACGUAGGUGGCAAGCGUUGUCCGGAUUUAUUGGGCGUAAAGCGAGCGCAGGCGGUUUUUUAAGUCUGAUGUGAAAGCCUUCGGCUUAACCGGAGAAGUGCAUCGGAAACUGGGAGACUUGAGUGCAGAAGAGGACAGUGGAACUCCAUGUGUAGCGGUGGAAUGCGUAGAUAUAUGGAAGAACACCAGUGGCGAAGGCGGCUGUCUAGUCUGUAACUGACGCUGAGGCUCGAAAGCAUGGGUAGCGAACA
rnacentral:rRNA from 1 species